rnacentral:rRNA from 1 species
GAUGAACGCUAGCGAUAGGCUUAACACAUGCAAGUCGAGGGGCAGCAUGGUCUUAGCUUGCUAAGACUGAUGGCGACCGGCGCACGGGUGCGUAACGCGUAUGCAACUUGCCUCACAGAGGGGGAUAACCCGUCGAAAGACGGACUAAUACCGCGUACACUCCAUCUUGGGCAUCCAAGGUAGAGGAAAUGAAAUUCGCUGUGAGAUAGGCAUGCGUCCCAUUAGCUAGUUGGUGAGGUAACGGCUCACCAAGGCGACGAUGGGUAGGGGAACUGAGAGGUUGAACCCACAAACUGGUACUGAGACACGGACCAGACUACUACGGGAGGCAGCAGUGAGGAAUGUUGGUCAAUGGGCGAGAGCCUGAACCAGCCAAGUCGCGUGAAGGAUGACUGUCUUAUGGAUUGUAAACUUCUUUUAUACGGGAAUAACAAGAGUCACGUGUGACUCCCUGCAUGUACCGUAUGAAUAAGCAUCGGCUAACUCCGUG